CCAAGUCCAGCAAUGAGUACGGUAAUGCUGACAUGGCCCAAAGAGGGUGAAAGGCCCGUUGGGGUGGAGAGGUAGAAAUGACAGUGCGUCCCUGGAUAGACCUUGGAGUCGGGUUGUUUGUGAAUGCAGCCCAAAGUGGGUGGUAAACUCCAUCCAAGGCUAAAUACUAGCACGAGUCCGAUAGCGAACAAGUACCGUGAGGGAAAGUUGAAAAGUACUUUGAAGAGAGAGUAAACAGUGCGUGAAACCGCUCAGAGGUAAACAGGUGGAGUUGAACUGUGAGCUCUGUGAAUUUAGCUGGUGAGUGUGGUUUGAGCUUGGUCAAAUUGGUUGUAUCUUGGGGUCUGCAUAGCAGCAGGUCUCCACCUUUUGGUGGGGAUGCGCGAUACACUUAUCAAGUGUUGCGCGCUCCUUGUUUAUUCGGGCCAGCUUGCCAGUGCACUUUCGCAGAGUGUUCACCACGACCGGCAUCGCUGUCUGACUGUUGUGGUUAAACCGGUCUUGCAUUGUCCUCGUGGCUUUGUCUGGUCGGGAUGGCAGGUAGCUCGUUGGUUCUCGGGUGUAAUCAGCUGACCACAUCGGUUCUGUGCAGUAUGUCGGAGACGGCGGCUUGUGGUGUGUGCGUGCGUAUCAGUUGACUGGCGGGUCCGGGUUUGGUUGUUAUCUUGCCUGUGUUCACAGGGCUAAUGAUAGCUCGGAUUCGUUCGGUUGGCGGUUGCGUGCGUGUCACUAUUUCCAGGGCCAAUAGUCUGUGGUGUUGCGGUAGACUAUCCACCUGACCCGUCUUGAAACACGGACCAAGGAGAGUAACAUGUGCGCGAGUCAUUGGGCGUAACGAAACCCAAAGGCGAAGUGAAAGUAAAGGUCUGGCUUGUCUGGACUGAGGUGAGAUCCUGUCGUGCCUCAUGCGCGGUAUCACCAAGCAUCGAGCGGCAGGCGCAUCACCGGCCCGUCCCAUGGUGUGGUGACCCUUUCCCUACAGUUUGUCACCGGGGCGGAGCAUGAGCGUACAUGUUGAGACCCGAAAGAUGGUGAACUAUGCUU
rnacentral:rRNA from 1 species